AUGGUGUUUGUGUUCUCCAACUGGUUCAUGGUGUCGCUGCUCUGCACCUACACCGCAAGGCGACGCUGGCAGGAGAGUAAGACCUACCGUGGCACUCUCCGCCACAUCGCCUGGAUCAGUAGCAAGCUGAGCCACCCUAGCCGUGUCACCCUCAAGCAGUUCUCCGUGCUGAGGGUUAGCUGGCUCUCCAUGACUCUGCCCACCACGUCUCUACCAAGGCAAGCAAAGAGGUCGAUAAUGGAACGCUUCCGGUCGGCGGCAUACGGCCGCGAUGGUUUCCCGGCCCCCCUUAGCAACGGAAAAUACGUACUAUGCUCCAUGCAACGGUACUCACACUUGUCAUGGUUCUGCGACACUAAAAGUGUCGCAGAGGUCAUCAUCACCUGGCACAUUGCCACCAGCCUCUUGGAGGCGACGUAUCCAGGACUUCCCAGAGGAGGGACCUCGCCGACGGACCACCAUAGGACAGUGGAGACAAAAUUGUCCAAGUAUUGUUCUUACCUUGUGGUCUUCCACCCGGAGCUGCUACCGGAUGACCGGGAAUGCACAGAGCGCGUGUACGAGGACAUGAAGACCGGUCUCAAGGAGGCGCUCGGGAGUCGUUGGAACUACUACCUAGGGUCAGAGGACGCGCGGUACAUGAAGAUGAUGGCGACGAACCAGGAUAAGCUGGGCUCCGACUGCUGGGACAACACCAUGACUAUGGUCCAGAAGGGGAUAGUGCUUGGAAACGUGUUACAGGGAGAGGCCAAUGGAGACUAUGGGGCCGUUUGGAAUCUGCUUGCCGACCUUUGGGUUGAGCUGAUUGUGUGUGUUGCCCCAUCAAGCGGUGACGAGCACGUGAAACGGCACGAGGAGGCGCUAGUGCUAGGUGGCGAGCUCAUCACCUUGCUCUGGGCCUUGGCCACGCACACUGGUGUAACCCGCCCACCGUCAACAUCGUCCGUUGCCACGCCGGUCGGCGAGGAUGUUGAAGAGGGAGUACGUCCUUGUGCAUAG
rnacentral:rRNA from 1 species